AGAGUUUGAUCAUGGCUCAGGACAAACGCUGGCGGCGUGCUUAAUACAUGCAAGUCGAACGGUCCUACUUCGGUAGGAUAGUGGCGGACGGGUGAGUAACACGUAGGUAACCUGCCCUAUUGUGGGGAAUAACAGCUCGAAAGAGUUGCUAAUACCGCAUAAGCUCUAUUCCGUGGGGAGUAGAGGAAACGCUUCUUUCGGGGAGUGGCGAUAGGAGGGGCCUGCGGCGGAUUAGCUAGAUGGUGGGGUAAAGGCCUACCAUGGCGACGAUCCGUAGCUGGUCUGAGAGGACGGCCAGCCACACUGGGACUGAGACACGGCCCCGACUCCUACGGGAGGCAGCAGCAAGGAAUCUUCCGCAAUGGGCGCAAGCCUGACGGAGCAACGCCGCGUGCGGGAUGACGCCUUUCGGGGUGUAAACCGCUUUUCGGGGGGAAGAAGGUUGGUCCGCAAGGAUCGACUUGACGGUACCCCCGGAAGAAGGACCGGCUAACUACGUGCCAGCAGCCGCGGUAAUACGUAGGGUCCGAGCGUUGUCCGGAGUUACUGGGCGUAAAGGGCACGCAGGCGGCGGCACUGGCCCGGCGUGAAAGCCCCCGGCUCAACCGGGGAGGGUCGUCGGGGACCGUGCCGCUUGAGGGCAGCAGGGGGUGGUGGAAUGCCCGGUGUAGUGGUGAAAUGCGGAGAGAUCGGGCGGAACACCCGUGGCGAAGGCGGCCACCUGGGCUGCACCUGACGCUGAGGUGCGAAGGCGUGGGGAGCGAACGGGAUUAGAUACCCCCGUAGUCC
rnacentral:rRNA from 1 species